rnacentral:misc_RNA from 1 species
GAUGAAGAACGUAGCGAAAUGCGAUAAGUAAUGUGAAUUGCAGAAUUCAGUGAAUCAUCGAAUCUUUGAACGCACAUUGCGCCCCCUGGUAUUCCGGGGGGCAUGCCUGUCCUAGCGUCAUUACAACCCUCAAGCUCAGCUUGGUGUUGGGCCCCGCCGCCCCGGCGGGCCCUAAAGUCAGUGGCGGUGCCGUCCGGCUCCGAGCGUAGUAAUUCUUCUCGCUCUGGAGGUCCGGUCGUGUGCUCGCCAGCAACCCCCAAUUUUUUUCAGGUUGACCUCGGAUCAGGUAGGGAUACCCGCUGAACUUAAGCAUAUCAAUAAGCGGAGGA